rnacentral:rRNA from 1 species
GACUGUUUACCAAAAACAUAGCCCUUUCAUAAAUAAAAGGUGUGACCUGCCCAGUGAUCAUAAAGUAAAGAAAUAAAAAUUCAUAAAUAUGAUUAAAAGGACGCGGUAUUCUGACCGUGGUAAUGUAGCGUAAUCACUCGCCACUUAAUUAGUGGAUAGUAUGAAUGGUUAAACGAAUAUAACCCUGUCUCUAAUAGAAAAUUUAUAAAAUUGGAAUCCUAGUUAAGAUACUACGUAAAAUUGUAAGACGAAAAGACCCUAUAGAGCUUAACUAUAUUCUGAAAUAGAACCAACUAAAUUUAUUUAGUUAUACUUUCAGAUUGGUAGUUUAGUUGGGGCGACUGUCUUUUAAAAUAAACAAAGACAAGCAAUAUUAAAAAUUUAAUUUACUGUAUAAAUAAUAAUUUUAACAGUUAUAAAAAUAGGCUUUAAUGACCCGUUUUUUUAUUAAAUAUUAAAAAACGAUCAAUAAAUAAAAGCUACCUUAGGGAUAACAGGAUAAUUUCAUUUCGGAGUCCAUAUCCUCGAUGAAGUUUGUCACCUCGAUGUUGAAUUAAG